rnacentral:rRNA from 1 species
AUUGAACGCUGGCGGCAGGCCUAACACAUGCAAGUCGAGCGGAUGAAGGGAGCUUGCUCCUGGAUUCAGCGGCGGACGGGUGAGUAAUGCCUAGGAAUCUGCCUGGUAGUGGGGGAUAACGUCCGGAAACGGGCGCUAAUACCGCCUACGUCCUGCGGGAGAAAGUGGGGGAUCUUCGGACCUCACGCUAUCAGAUGAGCCUAGGUCGGAUUAGCUAGUUGGUGGGGUAAAGGCCUACCAAGGCGACGAUCCGUAACUGGUCUGAGAGGAUGAUCAGUCACAUGGGAACGGAGACACGGUCAAGACUCCUACGGGAGGCAGCAGUGGGGAAUAUUGGACAAUGGGCGAAAGCCUGAUCCAGCCAGGCCGCGUGUGUGAAGAAGGUCUUCGGAUUGUAAAGCACUUUAAGUUGGGAGGAAGGGCAGUAAGUUAAUACCUUGCUGUUUUGACGUUACCAACAGAAUAAGCACCGGCUAACUUCGUG